CUUCUUGGCCAGAGACAGCCACUUUAAGACUGACUGUACCCGCUGCCAAGUCUGUGAUGAAGAGGCCCUUCAGGUGACCCUGGAGAAUUGCUCCGCAGAGACGGACACUCACUGUGGCUGCCAGUCAGGCUGGUGUGUUGACUGCUCCACCGAGCCGUGUGGGAAAAGCUCACCUUUCUCUUGUACCCCCUGCUCAAGCUACGAACCUACAACAUACCGGCCCUGCCCGCCUGGCUUCUACAUACACGGCAAUGGCUGCGCGUCCUGCCCCACUGUUCUGGGUCCAGGUGCUUCUAGGGGCCUCGUUCCUUCUUGGGACUGUCCUGAUCUGUGCAUACUGUCGGUGGCAGCCUUGUAAGCCCGUGGUCACUGCAGACAUAGCUGGGAUGGAGACCCUGGCCUCACCACAGACUACCCAUUUCUCAGCAUCAGACAGCGCCCACACCCUCCUGCCACCCCCAGGCAGUACUGGGAAAGUCUGCACCACUGUCCAGUUGGUAGGCAACAACUGGACCCCCGGUUUAUCCCAGACUGAGGAGGUGGUCUGCAGGCAGGCCUCACAACCCUGGGAUCAGCUGCCAAACAGAACUCUUGGCCCUCCUCUGGUACCUCCGCUCUCGCCAGCGCCCCCGGCAGGCUCUCCGGCUGCUGUGCUCCAGCCUGGCCCGCAACUCUACGACGUAAUGGAUGCGGUCCCAGCCAGAAGGUGGAAGGAGUUUGUGC
rnacentral:lncRNA from 1 species